UUUCCUCUUAGAACACUUGCUGGGUCUGAUCUGAUCUGUGGCCUGGGAAGCCUUCAGAGAAGGGCAGAGCAAUCCACUAGCACUGUUGGUGAGAUGGCAGCUGGAUGUGGUGUUGGUCUCAAUCAGGUUGGCGUGGGGA
rnacentral:snoRNA from 1 species